GAUGAAGAACAACGUAGUGAAAUGCGAUACUUGGUGUGAAUUGCAGAAUCCCGUGAACCAUCGAGUCUUUGAACGCAAGUUGCGCCCGAAGCCAUUAGGCCGAGGGCACGCCUGCCUGGGUGUCACACACCGUUACCCUCGCGCCAACGUCCAUCGUUGGCCGCGGCGCGGGGCGUGCGCUGACCUCCCGCGAGCGGGGUCUCGUGGUUGGUUGAAAAUCGAGUUCGCGGUCGAGGGUGCCGUGAUGAAAUGGUGGAUGGGCGACGCCCGAGGCCAAUCACGCGCGACUCUGUCCGGCUCGGACUCCUGGACCCCUUCGGCGUCUCCGGACGCUCUUUGGCGAGACCUCAGGUCAGGCGGGGCUACCCGCUGAGUUUAAGCAUAUCAAUAAGCGGAGGA
rnacentral:misc_RNA from 1 species